CCUACGGGAGGCAGCAGUGAGGAAUAUUGGUCAAUGGACGCAAGUCUGAACCAGCCAAGUCGCGUGCAGGAAGACGGCCCUAUGAGUUGUAAACUGCUUUUGUACGGGGGUAAAUUCUGAUACGUGUAUCGGGUUGAAAGUACCGUACGAAUAAGGAUCGGCUAACUCCGUGCCAGCAGCCGCGGUAAUACGGAGGAUUCAAGCGUUAUCCGGAUUUAUUGGGUUUAAAGGGUGCGUAGGCGGGUUGUUAAGUUAGUGGUGAAAGCUCGGGGCUCAACCCCAGCAUUGCCGUUGAUACUGGCGAUCUAGAGUACAGUAGAGGUAGGCGGAAUGUGUGGUGUAGCGGUGAAAUGCAUAGAGAUCACGAAGAACACCGAUUGCGAAGGCAGCUUACCAGACUACGACUGACGUUGAGGCACGAAAGCGUGGGUAGCAAACAGGAUUAGAUACCCUUGUAGUC
rnacentral:rRNA from 1 species